UACAGAGGUCUCGAGCGUUAGGCGGAAUCACUGGGCUUAAAGCGUGUGUAGGCGGAUCGUUAAGUACCUUGUGAAAUCCCACGGCUUAACCGUGGAACUGCUUGGUAUACUGGCGGUCUUGAGCCAGCUAGGGGCCACCGGAACAAAUGGUGGAGCGGUGAAAUGCGUAGAUAUCAUUUGGAACGCCAAUGGUGAAAACAGGUAGCUGGGGCUGUGCUGACGCUGAGACACGAAAGCCAGGGGAGCAAACGGG
rnacentral:rRNA from 1 species